ACUAACAAGGAUUCCCCUAGUAACUGCGAGUGAAGCGGGAAAAGCUCAAAUUUAAAAUCUGGUGGCCUUUGGCCAUCCGAGUUGUAAUUUAGAGAAGCGUCUUCCGCGCUGGACCGUGCACAAGUCUCCUGGAAUGGAGCGUCAUAGAGGGUGAGAAUCCCGUCUUUGGCACGGACUCCCGGUGCUUCUGUGAUGCGCUCUCGACGAGUCGAGUUGUUUGGGAAUGCAGCUCAAAAUGGGUGGUGAACUCCAUCUAAAGCUAAAUACUGGCGAGAGACCGAUAGCGAACAAGUACCGUGAGGGAAAGAUGAAAAGCACUUUGGAAAGAGAGUGAAACAGUACGUGAAAUUGUUGAAAGGGAAACGCUUGAAGUCAGUCGCGUCGACCGAGACUCAGCCUUGCCCUUGGCUUGGUGUACUUCUCGGCCUGACGGGUCAGCAUCAAUUUCGAUCCUCGGAUAAUGGCAGGGGAAAGGUGGCACCUUUUUAGGUGUGUUAUAGUCCUCUGUCGGAUGUGAGGGUCGGGAUUGAGGAACUCAGCACGCGCCUUUGGGCGUCGGGGCCUCUGGCCCACGUUACGUGCUUAGGAUGCUGGCAUAAUGGCUUUAAACGACCCGUCUUGAAACACGGACCAAGGAGUCUAACAUACCCGCGAGUGUUUGGGUGGAAAACCCGUGCGCGUAAUGAAAGUAAAAGUUGGGACCUCUGUCGUGGAGGGCACCGACGCCCGGACCAGACCUUCUGUGACGGCUCUGCGGUAGAGCGUGUAUGUUGGGACCCGAAAGAUGGUGAACUAUGCCUGAAUAGGGUGAAGCCAGAGGAAACUCUGGUGGAGGCUCGUAGCGAUUCUGACGUGCAAAUCGAUCGUCAAAUUUGGGUAUAGGGGCGAAAGACUAAUCGAACCAUC
rnacentral:rRNA from 1 species